GACGAACGCUGGCGGCGUGCUUAACACAUGCAAGUCGAACGAGGUCCAAGGUGUGGCAAUACACUGGAAGACCUAGUGGCGAACGGGUGCGUAACACGUGAGGAACUUGUCCCGGUCUCUGGGAUAACAGUUGGAAACGACUGCUAAUACCGGAUGACGUCGGACUCUCGCAUGGGAGACUGACGAAAGGGUUACCGGAUCGGGAGAGCCUCGCGGCCUAUCAGCUUGUUGGUGGGGUAAUGGCCUACCAAGGCAUCGACGGGUAGCUGGUCUGAGAGGAUGAUCAGCCACACUGGGACUGAGACACGGCCCAGACUCCUACGGGAGGCAGCAGUGGGGAAUCUUGCGCAAUGGGCGAAAGCCUGACGCAGCAACGCCGCGUGCGGGAAGAAGGCUCUCGGGUUGUAAACCGCUUUCAGCAGGAACGAAAAUGACGGUACUUGCAGAAGAAGGUGCGGCCAACUACGUG
rnacentral:rRNA from 1 species